rnacentral:rRNA from 1 species
GAUGAACGCUAGCGGGAGGCUUAAUACAUGCAAGUCGAGGGGUAGAAUUAAUUUCGGUUGAUUUGAGACCGGCGAACGGGUGAGUAACGCGUACACUACCUACCAUAUACUGGAGGAUAGUCAUUGGAAACGAUGAGUAAUACUGCAUAAUAUCUUUGGAUUAAAGCUUCGGCGGUAUAUGAUGGGUGUGCGUAUCAUUAGCUAGUUGGUAAGGUAACGGCUUACCAAGGCUACGAUGAUUAGGGGGCGUGAGAGCGUGAUCCCCCACACGGGUACUGAGACACGGACCCGACGUCUACGGACGGCAGCAGUAAGGAAUAUUGGACAAUGGGCGAGAGCCUGAUCCAGCCAUCCCGCGUGUAGGAUGACGGCCCUAUGGGUUGUAAACUACUUUUAUAUGAGAAGAAUAGCUUGUAUUUAUAUGAGUGUGACGGUAUUAUAUGAAUAAGCACCGGCUAACUCCG